UACCAGCACCCCGAGUGGUCGGGACGUUUAUUGGGCCUAAAGCAUCCGUAGCCGGUUCUACAAGUCUUCCGUUAAAUCCACCUGCUUAACAGAUGGGCUGCGGAAGAUACUAUAGAGCUAGGAGGCGGGGAGAGGCAAGCGGUACUCGAUGGGUAGGGGUAAAAUCCGUUGAUCCAUUGAAGACCACCAGUGGCGAAGGCGGCUUGCCAGAACGCGCUCGACGGUGAGGGAUGAAGCUGGGGGAGCAAACCGG
rnacentral:rRNA from 1 species